AUUUAGAUAGCUUAAAUUUUUAAGAGCAUUAUAUUGAAGAUAUAAGGGUAAUAUUUUAUUUUUAAAUA
rnacentral:tRNA from 1 species